ensembl:lncRNA
CAUUAUCUAUCGUCCUGGAUGUUCCGAGUUCCUGCCUGCCUUUUUGUUUUCUGCAUUUUGACUAUUAAAGUCUUUUUUGCUUUAAACGUCUGCAUUUGAGUCCUGCCUUCCCACGCAUCCUUGCCAGGUUACUUCAUCUGCAGAGCUCUAAUUGUUCACAGCUGAUAUUUACCUGCUUCGGACUCUUAGGUGUCAUUGUGGUUGGCAUCAAAUUAACUGAUUCACAAGACAAAAUACAAAGCACAAGCUGUGAGAUUUGACAUAUAUACAAUGACACCCCAUAAAAGGAACAUGCUCUAUACUACAUCCUUAGGAUGACAACAGGGUGCCACCGAGUAAUUUUACUGUGUAUUUAUUGUACAUGAAUAUGAACCAAGAAGUGAUUAAAGAAAACUGCUUUCAACAAACUGAAUGACUAAUGAACUAACCAAUAAAGUUGAAAACAAGGAGCGCUGCCAUGCAUGUUAGUAGGAUCCAUCUUGUAGGAUAUUACAAACAAAUUGAUGACCUGGUUCAUAAAAUUAAUAAAAAUGCGUGUACACCAGAAUACAGCCAUAAUUCUGAAACUGUAAUCAAUACAGUAAUGACAAUAUUGUAAAACCACUGUAAUUCUGCAACUGUAAUAGAAUAAUACCGAUGUACAGCUAUGAUUGUAUUUGAUGUAAUGUAAUCAACUGGAAUGCAUGCAUGUAAUACUUGCGCAACAACUGAUAUUGACUAAGGGCCAUUCGAAAUCCGAGUUACAUUUAACUCACCAGAAGACCACUCCCAGAGGUGUGGACACUAACUUUCACACCUUUAAGCAUUGUUAUAAAUACCUGUAGGAACCAUUGUUCUAGAGUUCGCUGGUGGAGACAACAAAUGGGCACUAGGGAUGGUCAAAAGGACUGACCUGGGGCCUGUUGGUUGCUGAGACCAGCGGCUCCUCAGCUGAGAUGUUCUUUUUACCACAACACCAUAUCUUUUAUUAAAUACAUUUGAUUUUAACCUUUCGAUCUGAGAUGACCUCUGUCCGUCCGGCGUUUCUUCAUUUUUGAAUACAAAAAUCAUCAUACAGCUUAUCCUGCACACAGGGUCGCAGGGGCGCUGGAGUCAAUCCCAGCCAACUUCGGGUGAGAGACUGAGUACACCCUGCAUUGUUCGCCAGCCAUCGCAGGGCUACAAACAACCUUUCACAUUCACACACCUAUGGGCAAUAAAGAGUCACCAAUUAACCCAAUCCCCAACGCAUGUCCUUGGAGAGAACCCACACAGACACAAGCAAAACAUGCAGACUCCACACAGAAAGGCCACUGGGUGGAGUCAAACCCAGGACAUUCUUGCUGUGAAGCGACAGUGCUAACCACCACGCUAACGUGCCACCCAAUGUUGGUAGGAUCAAACCACAAACGGCUUAAUCUGUAACGCGUCAUGAUCUCAUAUUCACGCAACUGAAAAAGUGUGAUCCUUGUGGCUAACAUCCUAUCAGCUCGUCUCCAUGGCCUAUGUCACCGUCUGGCUCGGAUUACUGUUUCCCUUUCACCAGGAGGCAUAUGCGAGAAAACCCCCAUUCUUGUUAACACCUGCUUUUAAGAGGCGCACUUCAGGAUCAGGAAACAUUUAUUACCAAAAUAUGCCAGACGUACAAGGAAUUUGUCUUGGCGGUUGGUGCGCGACAGUAGACAAUGUGACAAUAGACAAGACAGCAGUGCACAAGUAAUAAAAUAAAGUAAAAUGAAAUGCUAAUGCAAUGGGUUAGUAGAAUAAGGCUAUGGGUUAGUAUAAAACAAGGGAAUAAAGUUAAACAUUUUAAAUAUUAAAAAAGUUUAAAAAUAUAU